GAUGAACGCUAGCGGCAGGCCUAACACAUGCAAGUCGAGGGAGAAGCCCUUUCGGGGGCAGAAACCGGCGCACGGGUGCGUAACGCGUAUGCAACCUACCUUUCACAGGGGGAUAGCCCGAAGAAAUUUGGAUUAAUACCCCAUAAUAUUAUUGGAUGGCAUCAUUUGAUAAUUAAAACUGCGGUGGUGAAAGAUGGGCAUGCGUCCUAUUAGCUAGUUGGAGUGGUAACGGCACCCCAAGGCUACGAUAGGUAGGGGUCCUGAGAGGGAGAUCCCCCACACGGGUACCGAGACAGGGACCAGACUCCUACGGGAGGCAGCAGUGAGGAAUAUUGGUCAAUGGUCGGAAGACUGAACCAGCCAUGCCGCGUGCAGGAAGAAUGCCUUAUGGGUUGUAAACUGCUUUUAUAUGGGAAGAAUAAGGCGUACGUGUACGUUGAUGACGGUACCAUAUGAAUAAGCAUCGGCUAACUCCGUG
rnacentral:rRNA from 1 species